GUUAGACUUAAGGAAGCCUUUAGAAGAAAAACACAAACCGACUAAGCAUUUUCUCUCAGCUCACUUACACGCUCAAAGGAAACCAAGGAGAGAAAAACACAGAAAACUUAAGGGAGAAGCAAGUUGGAAUUCUGAGAUUUGUAGAGUGGAUUUGGGAGUCUAGCUCAGGGGUUUAAUCAAGGAACUGGAGCAAGAUUUAAGGUGUUAAGCUAGGGCUCGAGGAUCGGAUCGCGCUCAAGGAGUAUCGCCCGUAACUAACUCAUCUGAAAGCUAAAGGUAAAGGCAAGGGCAAGUUAGAUCAGCCCUGACUGGAGAGCUCGGCGAGCGGAAUGUACAUAGCCAGGUGCUCGGCCGCCACGGUUGAGGUCUAGGCAAGGACAUGGAACCUAAAGACUGUCUGUU